rnacentral:rRNA from 1 species
UAGGGAAUCUUCCACAAUGGACGAAAGUCUGGUGGAGCAACGCCGCGUGAGUGUAGAAGGGUUUCGGCUCGUAAAACUCUGUUGUUAAAGAAGAACAUAUCUGAGAGUAACUGUUCAGGUAUUGACGGUAUUUAACCAGAAAGCCACGGCUAACUACGUGCCAC